rnacentral:rRNA from 1 species
AACGAACGCUGGCGGCAUGCCUAACACAUGCCAGUCGAACGAGACCUUCGGGUCUAGUGGCGCACGGGUGCGUAACGCGUGGGAACCUGCCCUUAGGUUCGGAAUAACUCCCCGAAAGGGGUGCUAAUACCGGAUAAUGUCUUCGGACCAAAGAUUUAUCGCCUUUGGAUGGGCCCGCGUUGGAUUAGCUAGUUGGUAGGGUAAAAGCCUACCAAGGCGACGAUCCAUAGCUGGUCUGAGAGGAUGAUCAGCCACACUGGGACUGAGACACGGCCCAGACUCCUACGGGAGGAGGAAGGGGGGAAUAUGGAAAAGGGGGGGAAGGCCUGAACCAGAAAGGCCGGGGGAGUAAUGAAGGCGUGGGGGUUGUAAAGUUUUUUAACCCGGGAGAAAAAUGACAGAACGGGAAGAAAAAGCCCCGGCUACCUCCGUG